rnacentral:miRNA from 1 species
AAAGUGCUUCCUUUCAGAGGGU